GUGGAUUUGGGUGGAAAGAGUAGGUUCAGCAGUCAAAUGAAGGAUUUAACUGUGUACAGAGCCUUACUCUCAACACACGUAAGCCCUUUUGAAAUACUGUGCUUUGUCCUCACGAAAAGGAAAAGCUGCUCCUUCAUGUGUUAGUUAACAAAGGUUAAGUAAAGCAUAUUACAAACUUAAUUAUGUAGUGCUGUUGCAGCUUGCUUAAGUGUUAGUUUGUCAAAGAGAACUCUGCAUCCUUGAUAAUGUUUUAGUUUGACCUGCUAACAAAUGUUAAUACAUCUGUCUUGUACAAUGUGUUUUUGUGUGUGAAUGUGCAUGUAUUCAAGGACUAGAAAAGAAAUUCUACAUGUCAGAUGAAGGUCCUUCAGAAUUCAGCAAGUGUCAUUUAAAUGAACAGCAAUAAAUCACAGAGCACACUAUACAUACCCUGUACAGGACAAAAUGCUAAGCAAAUUACUACUUUAUGUACAGUAAUUCUUCAAAUAUUCUUCUAUUUUUUAAAUCACAUUAAGCAUUUAAGUAUAUGUCUUUUCAAAGCCAGAAAAAAAUUGUUAAUUAAAAAUUGGUUAAAUUCAUCAAAAUGGUCAUAACAAGCAGUAGUUUUUUAUUUGGGGGAACAUUAGCAAAUACACAACAGUCCUAUUACUUCCUUAAUUCCUUAAUUUCUGUUAUAAAAUAUUGAAGUCAAAUCUUAGUAUCUUAUCUUAGUAUCUUUUUUUUUUUUUUUUUUUUUUUUUUUUUUAUUACAGGAGAGGAUAAGCAAUAAACAUUGCAUUUAUUAGCUUCUUGUGAGUAAAUAUUUAUCUAUCACUCCUUGGCUGUAUGCUACUGUUGCAUAUUCAGUGCUCCCUGACGCACCUGUACCAUGUGGUCUGCAAACAGAAGAAAAUUCUUCACCACAUGACAAGACAGACACAACAGUGAGUUCUGGGAAUGCAAAGCAGCUUCAAUGGAGAUACAGAAGGGAGGACCAUGGCCCAUUACCUCUUGGAAUUUCCUGAUUUGAGGGGUUCACUGAGGAACCUAAAUGCUGCAUUUGAGCUAGCUUCUACCCGGCAGAGGCUAAGGCAGUGUGGUCAGCAUUGGUGGGGCUGGAAGGGAGCAGAGCUGCAGCUGUGUUGCACAGUGAUGGAACCUGGAGCAGGAUGAUAUGUGCCAAUGCAGUAUUGAUACUUGGAAAAUUGAGAGGCAUGUGUCCAGAAAAAUGAAACCUAUUUCUAACAUUUCUGGAGGUAUAUGUGUCCUUAUGAAAAGGAAACUGAAGACAAAAGCGAACAUCAAAUAAUGUUUCGAACAUUUAAGAAUAUUGAACGCUGAACAUUUAAGAUUAGAUGUCUAUUUUGGGAAAAGGAUUGAAAAUUAGAAAUUUGGCUCCACUCUGUAUUGAAAAGAUGUCAUUUUUUAACCUAGAUGGUCUAAAGGAGACCAGGUAACUGUUGUUGAGUGAAGGCACAUUUUUUUUUCCAUUUGCUAUGGGGUGCAGGAUUAUAAUGACUUUGCAGAUUCAGACAUUUGAAUUUAGGUGCAUAUGUGUGUUCACCUGUAAAUUGGGUUUCUGAACCUCUGUUACAGAGGAUGGAAUUUCAGUCUGCAGUGCAUAGAACUUUGUCACUUGUUUGUCUCACCACAAGGCAGAUGUCUACACCUCUGAAGCUGAAUGGCCCUCACGUCCUCAUUGACUGCAAGGGCUCAGGCUGGGUUUCAAACAUCAGACAUUGGCCUCUUGUGGCAUGAAAAAAAAGAAAAUUAUGUUUUGCUUGAUUUCCAGGUGCUUCUCCAAAGUUGAGGCUAUUCCUCCUUAGGUCUUUGUCAAAUCUUCCAUAUAUGUCUGGAAAUCUGCGUAUCCUAUGCCAUCUCAAACAGUGUUAGGUGUCUAUUUUUCAAUAUCAAAGUCCACCUGAGAGCACCCACCACUCCCCAGACUGUCAUGGUGGCUCUUCCACAUUGAAAUAAGAAUGAAUUGUCUGACUUUAUACAGUAUUUUUAAUUAUCUUUCUUCAGCUUUCAGGCUUCUCUGCGUACAUAACUGCAUUCUCUUUCCUCCUUGCUCUUUCAGCCAAAUUCUUGGUAGUGUAGUUUGUUUAAGUUCACUGAUGCCAGUGUAACUUUGUUGAUUUACACUGGCUGAGGGUUUCCCUUGGUUUGGCAAAUUUAAUCUCAUUUCUGUGAUUAUUAUUGAAUUAUAGCUUUCACUAAACUUUACAGUGUCAUAAUGUGGAAACACUGAAAAACAGUACUUUAAAAGAAUAAUAAUCAGUAAUUCUGGCUUCAUCUUUUUUUCCAGUUUAAGCCCUGGCCCAUAAGUAUCCCAUUGACAAGAAUCUGUUGCAAAUGUUUUCAUUGUUUUCUCUUUGCUUUGUGGUGAGCUAAGUGUUUCUGAAUUUCCUGGGCGGAUGCUUCAGCCAGUGACAUGCUGAAUCUGGUUUUAUCAGUUUUAUUGUGUUUAAACUAUUCUAAAUGCAGCUUGAGGUAUGCUAUAUCAUUAUUAUUAUAAUUAUUAUUAUUACUAUUACUAUUAAGAUUGCUGUCACUCUUUUUAUAGCUGUUAUUAUCAGCAUAUGGAAACUACUGAAUGUCAGUUCUGUAUUGAGCAUAGCUUAGCAUAACUCCAACCAGCGUAGCCAGGAAGAGCCUUGGUUUUGGUUUAGCCCUGAUUUGUAGGUCUGGUGGUGACACAAAUAAUGUAGAAUUCCAUCUGUUGCAGUAUUCAGAGAGCUUUUUGUCCAGGGGACAGAGAUUUAAGUAACAGGACACAUUGCUUUGUUAGUUGAACAAAACACAGAGAGGCUUUCACAACACCUACGUGUUCUUUCUUGUUCCAGAAACUCCUAUGAGCCAGAAAUAUUUGUUGCAAUGUGAAAUGUUCUGUGAGAUAAUGAUAGCUUUGCAGAAAUCUGGAAAUGCAUAGUGGGACAGGAGUUUUUCUUUUCAUGAGCUUAUGUUUAUAGAUGUGUUCAGCAUUAUUUAAUAAAGAAUAUGAUAGACUUUAUGACUCCA
rnacentral:lncRNA from 1 species